rnacentral:rRNA from 1 species
ACUCGCCUGCAUGAAGUUGGAAUUGCUAGUAAUCGCGAAUCAGAAUGUCGCGGUGAAUACGUUCCCGGGCCUUGUACACACCGCCCGUCAAGCCAUGGGAGCCGGGAGCGCUUGAAGUGCGUCGCCGCGAGGCGCGCCCUAGAGCGAGACCGGUGACUGGGGCUAAGUCGUAACAAGGUAUC